rnacentral:rRNA from 1 species
AAGAGAAGCUUGCUUCUCGGAUCAGUGGCGGACGGGUGAGUAACACGUGAGCAACCUGCCUUUAAGAGGGGGAUAACGUUUGGAAACGAACGCUAAUACCGCAUAACAUAGAAGAUUCGCAUGUUUCUUCUAUCAAAGAUUUAUCGCUUAAAGAUGGGCUCGCGUCUGAUUAGCUGGUUGGUGAGGUAACGGCUCACCAAGGCGACGAUCAGUAGCCGUACUGAGAGGUAGAACGGCCACAUUGGGACUGAGACACGGCCCAGACUCCUACGGGAGGCAGCAGUGGGGAAUAUUGCACAAUGGAGGGAACUCUGAUGCAGCGAUGCCGCGUGAGGGAAGAAGGUUUUAGGAUUGUAAACCUCUGUCUUCAGGGACGAUAAUGACGGUACCUGAGGAGGAAGCUCCGGCUAACUACGUGCCAGCAGCCGCGGUAAUACGUAGGGAGCGAGCGUUGUCCGGAAUUACUGGGUGUAAAGGGAGCGUAGGCGGGAUCUUAAGUCAGGUGUGAAAACUAUGGGCUCAACCCAUAGACUGCACUUGAAACUGAGGUUCUUGAGUGAAGUAGAGGCAGGCGGAAUUCCUAGUGUAGCGGUGAAAUGCGUAGAUAUUAGGAGGAACAUCAGUGGCGAAGGCGGCCUGCUGGG